AGGGCCUAAAUAAAUCCAGGAACUGAUACAAUUUUCCAUUUGUUCUGGCCAAGACUGGAGCCCUGAAACCUUCACAUAAACCCCAGGCCUUGCUUCUCUUGCCACAGCAGUGUACCUAAGCAAAGAUCCAUCGCCUUUUGUCUUGCUCUCUCCAGGAUAGCUCACAACCCUCUAGUUUUGCUGGUAAAUCACCUUGUAUUUUAGGGAUUUUUAUUCUCUGAUCAAAUUAAUCUCUUCUCAGCAUGCCUCAGAACACUUCCUGGCUGUGGCUUUUGGAAUGAUUUUGUCUAUUGAAUUACAUGGAAAAAAGCCAAGAUGUUAGGAUCGGUUUCGUUUUCCUGGAAACUGGUGUAGUUCCCAGAACUGUGUAUCCCCCACAGAGCUCCACCCGCUGGCGGCCUUCUGAGGCAGGCAUUCGGUCACUGAGUUGUUCAGACAGGCCUUGAACUCUCUCUGCAGCUCAGCAGGAUUACCUGAGCUCAGCCUAAGGUUUGGCCGUGGGUCUCUGCAUCUGUUUCCCUCAGUUACUGGAUGAAGGCUCUCUGAUGACAAUUGGAGUAGUCUCCAGUCUGAUCAUAGGAGAUAAGUUCAUACAUCCCCUCUUGUUAAGAGACUUUCUUCAGAGGCACAGCUAUUCAGCUACAAGAAAGCUGAAUGAAUCAUCCUUGUAGAUUCAUGGGAGUUUCUCUGGCAUCGGGUUUCUACCUCAACUCCAAAUGUCCCCAAUUCCAGUCAUCUCUUUCAGUAUUCUCCCCUUCCACGUACCACCCAACCUAACUCCUCAAGUUCCUAUCCCUACCUGCCCUCAGUCCUGGUGGUUUUUCUUAACCAUAUUGGGUUAUACCAAAGCCAAUUACAAUGAAGAUGGAGUCAGUUAUAACUAGUUGUUUUAUUUCUUUAUAAUGUGUUGUUAUUUGUUGCUUUUUAUUUUGUCACAGAAGGAAAAAACAUAAUUGCAAAAUAAAGCCCUCCCCCCAAUGAAGUCGGUGCCAUGGCAUCUUCAGUCAGCUAUUGGACUCAUUUGGAUGGCAGGUUGUGGCUGCAGCAGCAGCAGCAGCAAUGGACGAAACUGAUCUCUACCGCCCCCUGGUGACUAUACGAAAGUGCUGCGAGAAGAACCUCAGUGCCUUUCCCGAAAUUGCCAACGAUGUCAAAUGUAAUUCUACUUCUUCGGCAUCAUUUCCACCC